UGAAUCCAGGAAAUUUCCAUCUUUAAAUAUACUCUAUAAGUGUGCUGUCCAAUACUCACAUAGCUAUUGAGACCUGGAAUAUAACUAGUCUGAAUGGAGAUGUUCUCCUUUCUGUGAUUUAAGUUCUUUACACUGCUGAAGAGUCAUAUAAUUCUUUUUUCAAAGAAUUUUCCAGCUUUAUUGAGGUUUGACUUUCUUGGAGUCCACAUAUGUGAGAUCAUGCAGCAUUUGUUUUUCUGUGCCUGGCUUAUUUCACUUAGCGUAAUGACCUCCAGGCUCAUCCAGGUUGUUGCAAAUGGCAGGAUUUUCUUCUUUUUUAAGGCUUGGAGAGUCAUUUGUUUUCAUAAAAGAUUCACACCCCAGGUGAUGCCUUCUGCCAUGGGACGCCCCUCACCAGAUUCUGGUGCCGUGCUCUUGGACUUCCUAGCCUCCAGAACCACAAGCCAAAUACACUUUGGUUCUUUAUAAAUUAUCCAAUCUGUGAUAUUCUGUUAUAGCAGCAGGAAAUGAACUAGAACAUCGAGUCACUUCCCUAAUCUAGAAUAGCCAACUCUUUGCAAUUAUGAUCUUAUUAUUCAAUUUUUGAUUUUAGGAACUCUUUCUCCUUCCUACUUCUGAGGAUAAUAGAAUACAUUUUAGUCUUUUGCUUAUGAGAACAAGUAUACAUUAAUUUUUCUUUCUUUUAAUGUUUUAUGACGUUUGUUAACAUAACUGGAGACCCCUUGAAGUGUGGCAAGAAAAACAUUAUCGCUCUAACUGUAGGGUGGUUGUAGCUACAUCCGAAUGAGGCACAUUUUGAAAAUGAGAUAGUAAUCCCCUACAAAUUCUUUGCUGGAGUUCUUAGAUCUGGAGAAGUAAUUUCAUCAUGCAUUGUGAUUAUUUGAGAAAGCCCUGUUGUGCCUUUUUAAGAUGAUAGUGUGGAGCUGAUGGGGGGAAAAUAAGCAGGAACAGCUGGAGGCUUUGCAAGUGCUUUCAUGAGCAGGAUGUUCCAUGCCAGGAGGGAAUGCAUUUUACUGGAAUUUUUAAAUAAAAAUGUUCUACUUCUUGAAUACGUUUUUUUAAAUCAGUAUUAUUUAGAAAUUUCAGUGCUGGCUUUAUUUUCUGUAAUAACAAGGACAGACAUGCUUAUUGCUAAAGAUGUAGUUAACACAGUUUGGUUUUAUUUGGGGAGUGGUUGGCUAUUUAGAUUAAUCCAUAAUCAAAUCCACUAAUGUCAGUGAGAAAUAUUCAUACUUAGAAUGACAUAUGCAAAUACAUAAAAAUAAAAGGCAUUUUUAAACUUUGUUUUUAACCUAGGAACUCUGCCUCCGGUAUCUAAACAUCUGGUUUCCAUUCUCUUCGUCAAAGCUAACAGCCAGAGCCCUUAAGAAGAGAGAUUAGAUAUAAAAUCCUGAUAAAUCCCAUUCAGUUUGAGCUCUGUACCAGUAACAGAACACCAUUUGUUGUCCAUCUGUCUUUGGGUAAAAUGGGGGAGCUUUGGAGCUAAUACCACAAUGAAAAAAAGUGAUUGGAGUUUAUCUUGCACUGUAUUUUAUUCAGACUGCAAUCUGAUGACACAGAUAUAUACCACACUAUACUCUGAAAUCACCAGAAUAAAAUUGUUUUAGGCCCUUAUAUAAUACUGUGCUAACUAAACAAUAACAGCCACAUUUAAAUGGUCUGCAGGUUACACAGACAAACUGCAGGUUUUCUUUUAGGUUUACCACUCCCCUAGGAACUUUAAAUCUCUUUGUAUCUAAUCUCUGUCUUCUUCUAUCUCUCAUUCUGUUUAUAAGUGCAACUUGGGACUCAAAACAGAAAAGCACUUGCAAGGUUUAAGGGUUUAGAACUCUACCUCUCAGGACAAAACAAAUUAACAAGCAAAUCUCUUGUGUAGGUUAUUGCAUUAUCAUCAAGAUGAGAAUCUUAACAAUUUAUUUAAUUAUAGAAGAUGUGUAUGAAAGAUGGGUAGUAAAAGAGCUAUUUAGAUAUAAAACAUAAGUCAAUGAUAGGUAUACAAAAGGCAUAUAGAACAACAGCAAGAAUACGUGUUAGGUCCUGCCCGUGUUUCAAAGCCACUAAGUUCUGUUAGGGCACAAAUUAUGCAUGCACACAAAGCUAUGCAUGCACACACGUGCACACACACACACAAUGGCAUUUGCCACUGUGUUAGUUGUAUUAGUUUUCUAUGUUGGAUAGAAAAUAACCACUAACUUAGUGGCUUGCAACAAUAUUAAUUUAUUAUCAGAAAUCUGGCAUGCUUUAGUUGGGUUCUCUGAUCAGUGUCUCAUGGUUGCAAUCAAGGUGUCUGCUGGCUGCAUCUUCAUCUGGAGGCUCAGUUAGGGAAAUCUGUUUCCCGGCUCUCUCAGGUUAUUGGCAGGAUUCAUUUUCUUGAAUUUGUAUGACUAAGGUCCUCAUUUUCUUACUAGCUGUUGGCUGAGGAUAAACAAAAUGUGAUAUAUCCAUAUAAUGGAAUGUUAUUUGGCCAUAGAAGGGAAUGAAAUUCUGAUACAUACUACAACAGAGAAGCUCCUUGAAGACUUUAUGCUUUUCAUAUUUUCAUAAGUGAAAGAAGCCAGACACCAAAGACCACAUAUUAUGAUUCCAUUUAUAAGAAAUAUCCAGAAUAGGCAAAUCUACAGGCACAGAAAGUGGAUCUGUGGGUACUUUGGAUUGGGGGGAUAAAGUGGUAGGAAAAUGAUGGCUAAACAGGGUUUCUUUGACGGUGAUGAAAAUGUUCUAAAAUUAGCUACAGUAAUGGUGUACACCAUUGUGAAUAUACUGUGAAUCCUUGCAUUGCACACUUUAAAUGAUUGAAUUGUAUAGCGUAAGAACUAUAUCUCAGUAAAACUCUUAAUAAGGAAGUUAUAACUGCUGAAAGGAAAUCAUGUUAAGUAAACAGAGGUAAAGCACAAACUUCAGGCCCCUUUCUCAAAGCCUAAGUAAGAAAGGGAACCUCUUUUACAACAGAGUAACUUUCCCCUGGCAAAAUCUUUCCAAUUCACUGAGAAUAUACAUUUUUGUCUACCUUUUCAUCCAAGAAGUUCCAGUGAGGACAUGUUUCUUAUUCAUACUGAGAAAGCUCUCGGGAAGGUGUAAGAGUGGGCUCUGAUACUGAAUUUCAGGAAGAACAACAUCUUGUCUUUGCUUUUGAGAUUGCUUGCUAGUUUACUUAUGCAAAGUACCUUCAUCUGGAGGGUUGGGAAGUGGGUGAAACUUGGGAAUCGUUAAACAGCUUCAAGGAAGCAGGACUGCUUCUGCGUUGUAGUUACAAAGUCAAAGAUCCAGGUUUCCUAAGAGAGAGAUAAGAGGAGAAAUGUUGCUCUGGAGUUUGGUGGAGCUAAACUGGACUAAGAGCUUUGAGGGAGAAGAGAAGAGAUAAGAGGCCCAUAGUAAUGGACACUUACAAAGGCAGGUACUUUGAAAAUGCUCUCACUUUAAGAAGUGUUUUCAGUAUUAAAUAAUUGCCACACCCAUUUCGUGAAUUAGAUUAUGUCAUGUCCAUUUCUCAGAUGAGACUACUGGGGUCUGGAGACAUGGUCACAGUUAGCCAUGGAAUUGUAACUGAAUGAUGGGUCUGUAUGAUUCCUUGAGGCUUCAUUCUCCGCCCUCUUCUCUUUUUACUUCAUACCACUGGUUCUCAACUGGGGUCACUUUUGCCCCCACUGUCCCCCAGAGGACAUUGGGUAAUAUCUGUAGACAUUUUUGGUUGUGACAACUGCAUGUGGGAAUGCUACUGACAUCUAGUUGUGUAGAAGCUAUGGAUAUACCUAAACAUUUUACAAUACACAGCGCAGAAUUGGCUGGCCCCAAACCUCAGUAGUGCAGAGGUUGAUAACCCCAGCUUUAAACACAGCUUUGUAGCUCAUCAGCUCGUGUGUGUUCAGCAAGAAUUCAUAGUUGAUUCUGACUUCCACAUAUAUUUCCCCAGUCCAGAUGUCUGUCAAGAACUUUGGAUUGAUGUAUGCAACUGCCUCCUCUCCUCAUUUAUUCCCAACUCAAACUAUUCAGUCAUCAUAUAUUGAGUCAGUAUUUAGGUGUGCAAUUGUGACGUAAAUAUCACAAUUUUGGUGUACAGUUGAUUUCUUUAAAUCAAGGU